rnacentral:rRNA from 1 species
GAGUUUGAUCAUGGCUCAGGAUGAACGCUAGCGGCAGGCCUAAUACAUGCAAGUCGUACGGGAUUCCCCCCUUCGGGGGGGAUGAGAGUGGCGCACGGGUGCGUAACGCGUAUGCAACCCACCUUUUACAGGGGGAUAGCCCGGGGAAACCCGGAUUAAUACCCCAUGGCAUCCUUUGGCGGCAUCGUCCUUGGAUUAAGGCCUUCGGGCGGUAAAAGACGGGCAUGCGUAGGAUUAGCUGGUUGGUGCGGUAACGGCGCACCAAGGCUGCGAUCCUUCGGGGUUCUGAGAGGAAGGUCCCCCACACUGGCACUGAGAUACGGGCCAGACUCCUACGGGAGGCAGCAGUAGGGAAUAUUGGGCAAUGGGCGGAAGCCUGACCCAGCCAUGCCGCGUGCAGGAAGACGGCGUUCUGCGUUGUAAACUGCUUUUAUACGGGAAGAAAAGGCCCAUGCGUGGGACACUGCCGGUACCGUAUGAAUAAGCACCGGCUAACUCCGUGCCAGCAGCCGCGGUAAUACGGAGGGUGCAAGCGUUGUCCGGAUUUAUUGGGUUUAAAGGGUGCGUAGGCGGCCCGUUAAGUCAGCGGUGAAAGUUUCCGGCUCAACCGGGAGACUGCCGUUGAUACUGGCGAGCUUGAGUGCCGAUGGGGUACAUGGAAUUUAUGGUGUAGCGGUGAAAUGCAUAGAUACCAUAAGGAACACCGAUAGCGAAGGCAUUGUACUGAUCGGCAACUGACGCUGAGGCACGAAAGCGUGGGUAG